CCAGAACGAUGAUAAUGGUUCAAUAGAGAUUUGAAUGAUGUUCAAUCGAAAAAAAGGUAUACCGAUGGAGACGCAGAGAUCCACUGGCUAUACUUAGUCGGACAUUGUCCAUCUCCUCACUGUCAAUGGCAAGUGAUACUAAUAGCCAAACUAGUGGUCAGAACAUUCAAGGGAUGAUCACUCGAUGGAGAGAAAAAAACAAAAGGAGAUGGGAGCAUAGAGGACAACCUAAUAAGAAGAGGCAGGAUGGGAGAAGUGAUGGAUACCAAGAAAAUACCAAUCUAAAGGUAAUCAAUUUAUCUGAACAUCACCUUUCUGAUACAGACAUUUUGGUUUUACAGAAGGGCCUUACCUUUUCAUCUUAUACCCCAUUUAAUGUCUUUGUAGCAGUAAAAGACUAUCACCUAACUGAGGAGGGAGAUUUUAAUACACCAACCGAAAAAGAGACUUUGAUGAUCUUAGAAGGGCUACUACAGGAGCAAUAUACAGGUGACUCAGACAAUCAGAGGAAUCCCAACAGGCCAAUUCAUUAGAAUUAGAUGGAUUUGCUCCAGUGAUGAAGACUUCGAACAUCAGGCUGAUAUCAUGAAACAACGCUUUCUUGAAAAAGGAUACAGUAAGAGAUCUAUAAAGAGGGCAUACAAUAGAGCCAAGAAUAUAUCACGUGCUACUCUGGUCCAUCCAAGACAAAAGAAGGACUUAAAAGACACGGUGAGAUAUAUUACUAGUUAUCACACACAGUGGGAGAAUAUGCGCUCCCUGUUGGAAAGAUUCUGGCCUAUUUUAAGGGCAGACCCCAUUUUGGCCAAAUAUCUGACCCCCCUAUCCAGCUAUUGUAGCUGAGAAAUCAAGAAAUCUUAGGAACCAUUUGGUCAAAUCAUAUAAUCACCCAAAAAAAAGUUGGUGAAUUCUUUGGAUCAAAGGGACCGAAAUGGGGAUGUAUUCCCUGUGGCAAAUGUGUUGCGCGUCCAAACAUAAUACAAGCUACGGACUUUAUCGAUU